rnacentral:rRNA from 1 species
GAUGAACGCUGGCGGCGUGCUUAACACAUGCAGGUCGAACGGAAAGGCCCAAGCUUGCUUGGGUACUCGAGUGGCGAACGGGUGAGUAACACGUGGGUGAUCUGCCCUGCACUUCGGGAUAAGCCUGGGAAACUGGGUCUAAUACUGGAUAGGACCACUUCUUGGAUGUUGUGGGGGAAAGUUUUUUCGGUGUGGGAUGAGCUCGCGGCCUAUCAGCUUGUUGGUGGGGUAAUGGCCUACCAAGGCGUCGACGGGUAGCCGGCCUGAGAGGGUGUACGGCCACAUUGGGACUGAGAUACGGCCCAGACUCCUACGGGAGGCAGCAGUGGGGAAUAUUGCACAAUGGGCGCAAGCCUGAUGCAGCGACGCCGCGUGGGGGAUGACGGCCUUCGGGUUGUAAACUCCUUUCGCUAGGGACGAAGCGUUUUGUGACGGUACCUGGAGAAGAAGCACCGGCUAACUACGUG